rnacentral:lncRNA from 1 species
AAAUAAACGUGUUAUAAUAAAUACUUUAGAGAAGAGAGCAGAUUUUACUACACAAAAUGGUAUUUAUAGAAUAAAUCAACUAAAGUCGAGUGACAGUGGCCAGUAUCGACUCGAAGUUUUUGUAGAUGGGGGACAAAAAGAAGAACGGAUACUAAAAUUGUCUUUUCAAGGUCAGUUGUUUCUUUUUGGUUUGUCCAUAUAGAGUAAAGUUUACACUCAGAUUAUAUAUAAUCUGUAAACAAUCUCUUACACAGCUCCAGUAUCUUCUGUCCAGCUCGUCCCUACAUGUCUUUCUAUGGGGGAGAAGAAAGUUUCCUGCUCCUCUAAAGGGGACAGUCUUCUCUACAGCUGGACUCUGGAUGGACGCCCUCUGACAGACUCUGACCUCGUCCCAAAGGGCAGCAACACCAACAAUGUCCACCUGAAACUACAAACUGUAGGAAAACUGGUCUGUCAUGUCCAAAACAAAGUCAGCGAAAGCUCUGGUGAAGUGAAGUUAACCACUUGUGGUGAGUUAAAAAAAAGAUGAACGUAGAACAGGAAUAAUCAAAGCAUGCCUGAUAAAGUGCACGUCUUUGUUCCCAGGUUACAUCUUCAUAAACUGCACUUUGUCCAAUGGGACAGACAUAUUGCAGUGGGUGCUUGAGGCCACUAACACGUUGUGUGUUGACCCAACAACAGCCCCUAUGGGUGUGGAAAAUCACUGUGAUGGCAGACAGAAUAACGCUCAGUGUUAUGCAGCUUUGGAUGGAUCUAUAUUCAUCAGGCUGAUGGACAGCGCUGUAGAAAAUCAUACAUACAACUGGAAUAAAGAUAAAAGUAGAUUAUUGGUAGUGAAUAAUAAACGUGUUAUAACAAAUACUUUAGAGAAGAGAGCAGAUUUUACUACACAAAAUGGUAUUUAUAGAAUAAAUCAACUAAAGUCGAGUGACAGUGGCCAGUAUCGACUCGAAGUUUUUGUAGAUGGGGGAAAAAAAGAAGAAGAACGGAUACUAAAUUUGUCUGUUCAAGCUCCAGUAUCUUCUGUCCAGCUCGUCCCUACAUGUCUUUCUAUGGGGGAGAAGAAAGUUUCCUGCUCCUCUAAAGGGGACAGUCUUCUCUACAGCUGGACUCUGGAUGGACGUCCUCUGACAGACUCUGACCUCGUCCCAAAGGGCAGCAACACCAACAUUAUUCACCUGAAACUACAAACUGUAGGAAAACUGGUCUGUCAUGUCCAAAACAAUGUCAGCAAAAGCUCUGGUGAAGUGACGUUAACCACUUGUGGUUACAUCUUCAUAAACUGCACUUUGUCCAAUGGGACAGACAUAUUGCAGUGGGUGCUUGAGGCCACUAACACGUUGUGUGUUGACCCAACAACAGCCCCUAUGGGGACUGUGCCUCUGAUUGGGAUUUCACUCUCUGCUCUGGUCUUUAUCCUCCUUUUGGCUUUAGUCGUGAUCUGUGUUCAGAAGAAAAAGCCAAACAAACCAAAAGAACAACAGGAUGACCAUGAAUUAACCUACGAGGUUGUCUUAAGUGGUUCAGAGGCCGGGGACGCAAGAGGUGCACAGGUCAGAGGCGGAGGUGGAGUACGGCCAAGUCAAGUUUUCACAGCAACCUCGACAGAUUCAAGUACAGCCAGAUGACUGUGUGUAUGCCAGAGUCUGUAAAUGAAAACAUGGUGUGGCUCUUUUUUUAUCACAGACAGGGGGCACGACAUGAUCUCAGGUUGCUUGAUGGGCUUCCCCGUUUAAUGAUGAAAAAUCUGGGUGUCACCGUUGAGAGGACUCCAAACCCACAUCAAUAAUAUAUAUUUGUUUACCCCCUCUACCACUGCCAUUCUUGUACAUACUCUUCGAUCACUGAAACUCCUGAAACUCAAAUGUCCAGAAUUAGAGUUACCUGCAUUGUUACCAAAACACCUUGAUUCCCCUACAUCAUUCCUAUUUAUACAGCAUCUUUAAAAAUCUGCAUCAACUACAAAAUCCUCCGACUGACAUUUAAGGUCAUCCACAAUGUCACCCCUCCAUAUAGGUCCAGACUGAUCCACACCAUCAGCUCACUAAUAUUAUUCAGAAUCAAGCUCAAAACUCAUCUGUUCAGGACGGCCUUUCUCUCUGUGAUCACAACUGCUGUGUCUAAUCUCGAUAUGUUUUAAAAAUUAAAUGUUGUUGAAUAAUCUUAUUGUAAAUAUUCCAUGUAUAGUGACCCUAAGUGCUAGAAAGAAGCCUUUUUAAAGAUAAAAUAAUUAUAAUAUAUAAUGAUAAUAAUGUAUUGGAUUUGUAUAUUAACUGUAUAUAGUGUCUUUCAUAGACACUCAAAGGGCUUUACAUUGCAUUAUUCAUUCACUCCACACAAACGGGUGGUAAGCUACUAAUGUAGCCACAGCUGCCCAGGGGCAGACUGACUGAAGCAAGGCUGCCAUAGUGUGCCAUUGGCCCCUCCAAAUACCAAAUAUAUCAAUGUAUCUUCUCCUGGAAAUCCCUGUAAGGUUUCCUGAACUAUUAGGCUGAAAUAUUUAGUAGUUAUUUAUAAUUUAAUGUAUAUAAGAAUGUAGUUUAUAAUUGUUUUCCAUUUAUUAUUUAAUUUCACUACUUAAUCUGUACAACCGAUAACGUUUCUUCCAUUUAGAAUUUUAAGCAUUAAAGUUUUUCUUUCCCUCAUUAAACUGCAUUUAUUACCAGAUAUUUGCUGGAUGUGUUCAGUAAACUUUGACUCAGAGUUUCAUUGUGUUCACGGAAAAUUUCUAUUUGUGACUCAAUGACCCACAGAGUGAUUUGCUGAGAAAUGUCUUGUCUUUUGAGAAGUCGCACAUAAGCAGAUAUUUUUUUUUUUUCCGUGAUGUAAGGACUUCUGCUUUCCUUGCUGGAGUUUUUAUUCUUACAAAACUACUUCAAAUAAAUAUAGCAAUAGGCACUACUACUGUGGCUUU